AUGACUGAGAUUCAGGGCUCAGUGGGCUCUAGUACAUCAUCUCUCAACUGCAAUGCAGCAGAUCCAGACCUGCCUGAUGUACCGACCGCUGUGACUGACUCAAGACAUCCCCAAAAUCCCAUUACCCUCAUCCGUCUUCUGCUUCUGCAACAGCCUGCUGGUGAUCACGCAGGUCUUCAAAGAUGCAAGCAUUUGGUGAAACAAAACAGCUGCUUAUUCAAAUGUUUUAAAGGAGUAGUUUGCCCCAAAAAUUGACAUGUCGAUCCAAACCCGUGUGAUUUUCUUUCUUUCAUGAAAAUAAAUGCAGUGAUGGUGUAUAAUAGCUUUGUGUGAUGAGUAAACUUGUUUUGACUGAUAAUCUUUCCCCUUCAUCGAAGCUCUGAAAUGGACUACAAAAAUGAGACAACAGCAUCAUUUGAUGUUCAUUUGACUGAUUCAAAAUACCUUUGCUUCUCUCUUGUCCCAUAAGCAAAUGUAAUUUCAAACCUGAUGCAGCACAUUGAAAAACACUUCAUAUUUGUUUUAGCUACAGAUUUUCAGUAUACAAUGUCUUAUAUAUAUAGUAUUUAUGCCUACGCACACAAAUUGUUCAAAAGUUUGGGGUUGGUAAGAUUUUUUUAAAAGCUUUCGAUAGACGACUCUUAUGCUCACAAAGGCUGCAUUUAUUUAAAGAAAAACGCAGUAAAAACAGUAAUAUUGUAAAAAAUGAUCAUAAUUCAAAAUAUUCUAUUUACUAAUUUAAUAUAUUUUAAAAUACAGUUUAUUUCUGUGAUUCAAAACUGAAUUUUUUAGCAAAUAUUCUAUUUACUAAUUUAAUAUAUUUUAAAAUACAGUUUAUUUCUGUGAUUCAAAACUGAAUUUUUUAGCAUCAUUACUUCAGUCUUCAGUGUCACAUGAUCUUCAGAAAUCAUUCUAAUAUGCUAAUUUGCUGCUCAAGAAACAUUUCUGAUUAUUAUCAAUGUUGGAAACAGUUGUGCUGCUUUAUAUUUUUCUGUGAACUGUGAUCAGUUUUAUUUUCAGGAUUCUUUGAUAAAUAGAAAGUUCAAAAGAAAAUCUUUUAUUUGAGAUAAAAAUUUUAUAAAUGUCACUUUUGGUCAAUUUAAUGUAUCCUUUCUGAAUAAAAGUAAUGCAUUCUUUCAAACAAACAGGCCGGUCUCU
rnacentral:lncRNA from 1 species